UACGAAGGGGGCUAGCGUUGCUCGGAAUGACUGGGCGUAAAGGGCGCGUAGGCGGAUGGUACAGUCAGAUGUGAAAUUCCUGGGCUCAACCUGGGGGGCUGCAUUUGAUACGUGCUGUCUUGAGUUCGGAAGAGGGUCGUGGAAUUCCCAGUGUAGAGGUGAAAUUCGUAGAUAUUGGGAAGAACACCGGUGGCGAAGGCGGCGACCUGGUCCGAUACUGACGCUGAGGCGCGAAAGCGUGGGGAGCGAACAGG
rnacentral:rRNA from 1 species